AUGCAGCUCAUUAUCCCCCACAGUCUUCGGAUUUCCUCCGGGAUCGUCUGCCGAAUCUUUAAUCAGAUUUAUAAACCAUGUCGAACAAACAAACUGGUAGAAGGAAAUGUUUACCAGAAGAAGCCUUUUUGGAUUCCUCUUGUUCGGCUACAUUGGCCUUCAUUUGGGCCUUACGUUCCUCCAGCUCUUGAGACAACUGGGCAUUCUUCUCUACAAGAACCUAUGCAUUUCAUGAUCCUUAAAUCAGUUGUGCCAUUUGUUUCAAGUCUCAGGGGCUACUACUACACAUACUUAUUAAAUUCUCUUACCUGUAUAUCCUUCACAUACUGGUCUGUUGCUCUGGCAAGUCCAUCUUGA
rnacentral:rRNA from 1 species